rnacentral:rRNA from 1 species
GGGUGGUAAUGCCGGAUGCUCCAGUUGAUCGCAUGGUCUUCUGGGAAAGCCUUUGCGGCAUGGGAUGGGGUCGCGUCCUAUCAGCUUGAUGGCGGGGUAACGGCCCACCAUGGCUUCGACGGGUAGCCGGCCUGAGAGGGCGACCGGCCACAUUGGGACUGAGAUACGGCCCAGACUCCUACGGGAGGCAGCAGUGGGGAAUAUUGCACAAUGGGCGCAAGCCUGAUGCAGCGACGCCGCGUGAGGGAUGGAGGCCUUCGGGUUGUAAACCUCUUUUGUUAGGGAGCAAGGCAUUUUGUGUUGAGUGUACCUUUCGAAUAAGCACCGGCUAACUACGUGCCAGCAGCCGCGGUAAUACGUAGGGUGCAAGCGUUAUCCGGAAUUAUUGGGCGUAAAGGGCUCGUAGGCGGUUCGUCGCGUCCGGUGUGAAAGUCCAUCGCUUAACGGUGGAUCCGCGCCGGGUACGGGCGGGCUUGAGUGCGGUAGGGGAGACUGGAAUUCCCGGUGUAACGGUGGAAUGUGUAGA